GAAAACUGGUUUGUGAUAUUUGAGGUAAGGCAGUUUGGGUUUUAAAAAGCGCGCCUAGGCGCGAGGCGCACUGCAGGCCUCAGCGCCUCAUGUCACCUGAGUCGGGCGUUUUCCACAAAGCACCGGAACAGCGCAAACUUUGGGUUUUUUAGGGUCUGAGGCGUGCGCCUUGUGUACUUUGGAUGUUUUUAUGUUGUUUUUAUUCAUCAAAGUGUUGUACCAUAGGUUUUUGGGCUUGUACAUGUAGGUAUGAAAAGCCCACCACUUUUGCAUUUUACGCUUCACGCCUCAGUUUUAGACCUCGUCGCUUUUGUGCGCCUUUCGCUUUUUAAAACCAAGAAGGCAGUAUCUCAUAUGUGGAUGGCCUCAGUUUUAGACCUCGUCGCUUUUGUGCGCCUUUCGCUUUUUAAAACCAAGAAGGUAGUAUCUCAUAUGUGGAUGGAAUGACGAGGGAUUUGCCUAAGGUCGUUAGAUUUCUUGGAUAUGGAACUUGCUGUCUGGAAUGGCUGGAGUGGUCAUGGGUCGAACUGAUUGGAUACACAUGACAGGCUUAGUGAUUUUAAUACAUUUGGUUUUGAAACAUUUAAACAAUGGUUUACUUAUUGCUUCCGCUGAACUUGUUGGAUUUUAUUAAACUUAUUGUUUGAUACAUUUUUAUUUAUAAUUGAUAACUCCAUUUGAGAUU
rnacentral:lncRNA from 1 species